rnacentral:rRNA from 1 species
GAGUACGGCCAUACUACCGGGAAUACACCUGAACCCGUUCGAUUUCAGAAGUUAAGCCGGGUUAGGCCCAGUUAGUACUGAGUGGGCGACCACUUGGGAACACUGGGUGCUGUACGCU